rnacentral:misc_RNA from 1 species
GAUGAAGAACGUAGCGAAAUGCGAUAAGUAAUGUGAAUUGCAGAAUUCAGUGAAUCAUCGAAUCUUUGAACGCAUCUUGCGCUCCUUGGUAUUCUGAGGAGCAUGCCUGUUUGAGUGUCAUUAAAUUCUCUACUACACUGACUUUGAAUUGGUGUGGCUUGGAUUUGGGGGGAAAAUUGUUGUGGGCUUUUUGUAUAGUCUGCUCCCCUGAAAUUGAUUAGCGGUACCUUUGUGGAACUGUCUACAGGUGUGAUAAUUAUCUACAUCUUAGACAUCUGCUGGAAUGCUGCUUUCUAAACCUUACUUGUAUUGACAAUCUUGACCUCAAAUCAGGUAGGACUACCCGCUGAACUUAAGCAUAUCAAUAAGCGGAGGA